AUUGAACGCUGGCGGCAGGCUUAACACAUGCAAGUCGAACGGUAACAUAAAGAAGCUUGCUUCUUUGAUGACGAGUGGCGGACGGUGAGUAAUGCUUGGGAAUCUAGCUUAUGGAGGGGGAUAACUACGGGAAACUGUAGCUAAUACCGCGUAAUAUCGAGAGAUUAAAGUGUGGGACCUUCGGGCCACAUGCCAUAGGAUGAGCCCAAGUGGGAUUAGGUAGUUGGUGAGGUAAAGGCUCACCAAGCCGACGAUCUCUAGCUGGUCUGAGAGGAUGACCAGCCACACUGGGACUGAGACACGGCCCAGACUCCUACGGGAGGCAGCAGUGGGGAAUAUUGCGCAAUGGGGGCAACCCUGACGCAGCCAUGCCGCGUGAAUGAAGAAGGCCUUCGGGUUGUAGAGUUCUUUCGGUAGCGAGGAAGGCAUUUAGUUUAAUAGACUAGGUGAUUGACGUUAACUACAGAAGAAGCACCGGCUAACUCCGUGCCAGCCGCCGCCGUAAUAC
rnacentral:rRNA from 1 species